UACCAGAGCCAUAUCACCUUGUAGCUCUCACCUGGUUUCCCAGUGAAGCAGGGUUGAGCCUGGCCAGUACCUGGAUGGGAGACCUCCUGGGGAAAACUAAGGUUGCUGUGGGAA
rnacentral:rRNA from 1 species